rnacentral:lncRNA from 1 species
CACAAUAAAACCCUAGAGACCAUUCUCCCAAACCGGCUUCCUUUGCAUUCUCUCACCUCUCCACACUAAAUUGUAGCUGCUUCCUCCAAAAUCCCCUCAAUACCCGGCUAAAUCAUGAAAAUCUUUCACGGUCAACUUACCUUAUCUGCACUAUCUCGUUGUCAUUCAUACACUCGUGGUGUUACUUAGUACUUGCCCGAUUUUGGCAAGUAUUACCUUUCUGAAUCGAGUGCAAUAUCCUCAACCUACAAGAUUCGGAUGAAAAUCCGUCUGUACACACUCUCAACACGGUCGUAUGGGUCAGAUUCACCAAAAUUCUUGGCUAAUUUUGACUACUUAUCAAACUAGGGGUUGUCCGUUUUUUCAUCUAUUUUGAUUCGGAAUAGCGUAUGCAUGUGGUUUUCCUUGAUCCUGCUUAAACUUGAUUGAUUUUGUUUUCUUAUUUGUGUUUGAUUAAUUAUUUUAAUGUUUGCUUGUUUGAUUUCUACCACUAUAUAACCUCUACCCAAUUUCCCCUUGGACACACCUUAAUCACCUUAAGAACUAUUCUCUCACUCUUAGUUAUUCUAUACUAUUCUAAAAUUGAGCUCUUGACCGGCUGAAAGCCAAGGCCACCGGAUUCUGUUCACCUUCCUCUAGUGCAAGCACGAACUCUGAAGCACGGGGGAGUUGUAGUUUGUUUUAUAUCGAAUAAUCAUCUCUAUUCUUUAUAUUUUUGAGUUCUUCAUCAUUUAUUUAGAUGUUUGCAACCUGUUAAUAUCCUAUACUCUUGUAAUUAUUACUUUCUGAUUGUGUGGAUUUUCUGGGUGUUUUAUAUCAUGUUAUCUGAAACCUACUCUAAUUCUUACUUUUGCUAAGUGAUACAUGAUGUUUACUAGGCUUGCAACUAAAUCUGAAUAAUGUUCAUCAAAUCUUGUUUGGAUUUUAGAGAAGCUAUGUAUGUCUAGAAGUAUUUUUCUUCUUGUUGAGUCCCUUACACAUCACCUACUGUCCUGUUGCAACUAUGGGAUGACAUUACAUAAAUACUUAGCCUAGUAUGCUUUUCCUUGACCUUAUUAUCCUCAAUGCUUGCCUAUUGUAGAUAACCAAAUUGAAUGUUUGUCUCCAUGUUUAAGCUUAAUUGACUAUUCAAUACUAUUGUUGUUUUGAACCAUGAUUAGGAGUUGGGACUCACCUAGGAAAUUAAUGUAUGCCUACAAACCUAUGCCAAAUCUUUUAUGUAUACAUGCUAUUCCCUAUAACCAACUUGCGAUUAUAUGAAUUUUGUGUGCUAAUGUUUUUGCAAUGCCAAAGCAGAAUCAUUCUUUGCUUGGAUGCUCUGUGAUCACCUAUUGUUUUAGACUCCUAGGGUGAAUUUCAAUCCUGUCUUGUUUACUCUUCUUUACACGAUGCAUGCUUACUUGACAUGCCUAAAAAUUAGCUUCUUCUCAUUUGAAUGCUAGCUUGUUAAUAAACGGAGUUUGUUUGCCUGUGCCAUAUAAACUCAAGAAGUUAGUUGUUCUCAUUAAGUUAUUAUGUUGAAGUUUCCAUGUUAAGUCUAUAUCUCACUUGUCUUGCUUAUGACACUGUUAGACAUCCAUUUUCAAACCUAUGCUUAAGGCUCUUUAGAAUAUAUUUUUUACCAAGCUUUAUUCUGUAACUUUAUUUGAAAUAGUCGUGUUGCUCUUAAACUUUGUUGCUGGACUUACAUCCAAAAACCUCGCCGCAUAUGUUUUUGUAUGACCCUAUCUAUAAGUCUUGGUUAUAGGUGUUGCUGGUUACAACUUAAGGAUUGAGUGUUUUAAUCUUCAGAGAUGUUCAAUUAACUUUGUGUUGUGUCAUCUGUAUAGCCAAGCUUAGCAUCCCUUCGGUAAGAUAUUAUUCGAUUGGGACUGGUGCGCUGGGCCUGCUUUGGUAUUGGAAGUCUGAAGAACACUGUUUGUACUUCGAGACUGGGCAUGUAGUCCACAUGGAAUUCUAAACCUAUUUGAAAGCCAAAUUGUGUUAAUGGGUUAUUAUGUAUUCAUAUUUGUACGUGUAAUUAUUCAAUAGGGCCUGUAAUAAUUUGUAAACAAAUGAUAGGGAGAUUAGUGAAAAGGGGUUAGGGUAUCCUAAUUCUCACUUAAACAGGCAGAGGCAUGCCUAUAGGACCUAUAUGCUUUGUUUGCCACUUUGUUCGACAUGUUUUAUUACUGUAUACAUAUAGAAACUGUCCUAUAGAAUAUCACACACUUCAAUUAACUUGUCUAAUACCUUUACAUUAUUCAAAAGCACGAUUGUUUGGCUAAAUAUUUUACCUACUCUCAUGUUUACUUCUAUAUGAUUAUCAGAUAGCAUGACUAUAGGGUUGUAAUAAUACAUACCUUUGCUAAUGCUCAUCUAGAUACCAUAACUAUAGGGUCUUAACUAAUUAAUUAAUCGCAUGCGUCUGUUGUUUUAUUAUACUCCCACCUAAAUAGCAUGCAUAUAAGAUAAGUAUGACAAAUUUGAGUUCAAAUAUCGACCACUAGAAAUCUUUCCUCUAGGGUAUCUUUACUUGCCUAAAGAGCAUGUCUAUAGAAUCAAAUGGUGGUAAUUC